rnacentral:rRNA from 1 species
GAUGAACGCUAGCGGCAGGCUUAAUACAUGCAAGUCGAGGGGCAUCAAGGUACACGAAAGUGUAUUGUUGGCGACCGGCGGACGGGUGAGUAAUAGGUAGGUAACCUACCUCAUACUGAGGCAUAGCUGGGAGAAAUUCCAGGUAAUUCCUCAUGAGGUUAUAUGACACAUGUGAUAUAAUCAAAGGUAUCGCAAGGUACUGGUAUGAGAUGGGCUUACUGACCAUUAGCUAGUUGGUGAGAUAAGAGCUCACCAAGGCGAAGAUGGUUAGGGGUUUUGAGAGAGAGAUCCCCCACAUUGGAACUGAGAUACGGUCCAGACUCCUACGGGAGGCAGCAGUAGGGAAUAUUGGGCAAUGGGCGGAAGCCUGACCCAGCCAUGCCGCGUGAAGGAGACGGCCUUAUGGGUUGUAAACUUCUUUACUAUGCGAUAACUAGAUUUACGAGAUAAUUCUAUAGAAUGUAGCAUAGCAAAAAGCACCGGA